UGGGGAAUUUUGGACAAUGGGGGAAACCCUGAUCCAGCCAUCCCGCGUGUGCGAUGAAGGCCUUCGGGUUGUAAAGCACUUUUGGCAGGAAAGAAACGUCAUGGGUUAAUACCCCGUGAAACUGACGGUACCUGCAGAAUAAGCACCGGCUAACUACGUGCCAGCAGCCGCGGUAAUACGUAGGGUGCAAGCGUUAAUCGGAAUUACUGGGCGUAAAGCGUGCGCAGGCGGUUCGGAAAGAAAGAUGUUAAAUCCCAGAGCUCAACUUUGGAACUUUAUUGUUAACUACCGGGUUAGAGUGUGUCAGAGGGAGGUGGAAUUCCGCGUGUAGCAGUGAAAUGCGUAGAUAUGCGGAGGAACACCGAUGGCGAAGGCAGCCUCCUGGGAUAACACUGACGCUCAUGCACGAAAGCGUGGGGAGCAAACAGG
rnacentral:rRNA from 1 species